AACGAAUGCUGGCGGCGUGCCUAACACAUGCAAGUCGAGCGAGAAAGUCUUCGGAUGAGUAAAGCGGCGCACGGGUGAGUAAUACAUAGGAACAUACCUUUAGGUGGGGAAUAACCACGGGAAACUAUGGCUAAUACCGCAUGAUGUCGUAAGACCAAAGGCGGCUACUUAGUAGCUGUCACCUGAAGAGCGGCCUAUGUCCCAUUAGCUAGUUGGUGGGGUAAUAGCCUACCAAGGCAACGAUGGGUAGCUGGUCUGAGAGGAUGAUCAGCCACACUGGAACUGAGACACGGUCCAGACUCCUACGGGAGGCAGCAGUGGGGAAUCUUGCGCAAUGGGCGAAAGCCUGACGCAGCAACGCCGCGUGAGUGAAGAAGGCCUUUGGGUUGUAAAGCUCUUUCGGCUGGGAAGAAGGGUCUAGUAAUUAAUACUUACUAGAUUUGACUGUACCAGAAGAAGAAGCACCUGCUAACUACGUGCCAGCAGCAGCGGUAAUACGUAGGGUGCAAGCAUUGUUCGGAAUCACUGGGCGUAAAGGGCGCGUAGGCUGGCUUGUAAGUCGAUUGUGAAAUCCCCGGGCUUAACCUGGGAACUGCAGUCGAAACUACAAGUCUUGAAUGCUCAAGAGGAUGGCGGAAUUCCUGGUGUAGUAGUGAAAUACGUAGAUAUCAGGAGGAACACCUGAGGCGAAGGCGGCUAUCUGGUGAUGCAU
rnacentral:rRNA from 1 species